rnacentral:rRNA from 1 species
GUUAAAAAGCUCGUAGUCGGAUGUCGGGCUCGGGCAGGCUGUCGGCUUCGGUCGGACGGCAGGCUCGGGUCUUUCUGCCUGAGGAUCCCGUUGCACUUAAUUGUGGGGCGUGGGGACGCAGGCCGUUUACUUUGAAAAAAUUAGAGUGUUCAAAGCAGGCCUACGCUUGAAUACAUUAGCAUGGAAUAAUGGAAUAGGACUUUGGUGCUAUUUUGUUGGUUUAUGGGACCGAAGUAAUGAUUAACAGGGACAGUUGGGGCCGUUUAUAUUUCGUUGUCAGAGGUGAAAUUCUUGGAUUUACGAAAAGAUAAACUUCUGCGAAAGCAUUCGGCAAGGAUGU